rnacentral:tRNA from 1 species
GGGCCCGUGGCCUAGUUAGGAAAGGGCGUCGGCCUUCGGAGCCGAACGGCAGGGGUUCGAAUCCCUUCGGGCCCG